GUGCAUGGCAGCAUCGCUUUUAACCUGAAAAAUUAAACCUGUUCUUGAAUACUUAAUACUUGCAUGGCCAUGAUCUGUAAAGAGUUUGAAUGCGAAACAAAAAAAUACAACUUAACUAGAUGAAAGCUUGUAGAUAUCUGUCAAUUUGAAUACAACUUAACUAGAUGAAAGCUUGUAGAUAUCUGUCAAUUUGCACCCUUGAACUGAAGUAGGCUCUUCUAUAUAUACCGGAAGGUGCAUGCUGUUGCAUCUGUCAUCUUCCCACUUUUAUCUCGAACUUUUUUGGUUUGCC
rnacentral:lncRNA from 1 species